AACGAACGCUGGCGGCAGGCUUAACACAUGCAAGUUGAACAGGAUUGUUUUGGUGCUUGCACUGAGACAUGAGAGUGGCGCACGGGUGAGUAAUAUGUAGGAACGUACCUAUUGGUUUGGGAUAACGCUUGGAAACGAGUGCUAAUACCGGAUAAGCCCUGAGGGGGAAAGAUUUAUUGCCGAUAGAACGGCCUGCAUCAGAUUAGGUAGUUGGUGGGGUAAAGGCCUACCAAGCCGACGAUCUGUAGCUGGUCUGAGAGGACGAUCAGCCACAUUGGGACUGAGACACGGCCCAGACUCCUACGGGAGGCAGCAGUGAGGAAUAUUGGGCAAUGGGGGCAACCCUGACCCAGCCAUGCCGCGUGAGGGAAGACGGUCUUCGGAUUGUAAACCUAAGUUAUCAGGGACGAUUAUGACGGUACCUGAAGAGAAAGCUCCGGCUAACUACGUG
rnacentral:rRNA from 1 species